rnacentral:rRNA from 1 species
AGAUUGAACGCUGGCGGCAUGCCUAACACAUGCAAGUCGAACGGGAGUAGCAAUACUCUAGUGGCGGACGGGUGAGGAAUACGUAGGAAUUUGCCCUUAAGUGGGGGAUAACCCGGGGAAACCCGGAUUAAUACCGCAUGACCUCGAAAGAGCAAAGUGGGGGAUCGCAAGACCUCACGCUUUUGGAGAAGCCUACGUCGGAUUAGCUAGUUGGUGAGGUAAUGGCUCACCAAGGCGACGAUCCGUAACUGGUCUGAGAGGAUGAUCAGUCACACCGGAAUGAGACACGGUCCGGACUCCUACGGGAGGCAGCAGUGGGGAAUAUUGGACAAUGGG